rnacentral:misc_RNA from 1 species
CGGCAAGCCGGUAAAGCUCUCCCGCCGGCGAAGUUCCUGAAAACUGCUCCGGUAGUUUCCUCUCUGCAUAGCUAUUCCAUCUACAAUGAGGUCCAAGGACAAAAUCUCCUACUUCUACGACGGUGAUGUAGGAAGCGUAUACUUUGGACCGAAUCAUCCAAUGAAGCCGCACAGGUUGUGUAUGACUCAUCAUCUGGUUCUAGCUUAUGGUCUUCACAGCAAGAUGGAAGUUUAUAGGCCUCACAAAGCAUAUCCAGUGGAGCUAGCGCAGUUUCAUUCUGCUGAUUAUGUAGAGUUCUUGAAUAGAAUAACCCCAGAUACUCAG